rnacentral:rRNA from 1 species
CACGUAGGGUGCGAGCGUUGUCCGGAAUUAUUGGGCGUAAAGAGCUCGUAGGCGGUGUGUCGCGUCGGCCGUGAAAACCUGCAGCUUAACUGUGGGCUUGCGGUCGAUACGGGGCAUCACUGGAGUUCGGCAGGGGGAGACUGGAAUUCCUGGUGUAGCGGUGAAAUGCGCAGAUAUCAGGAGGAACACCGGUGGCGAAGGCGGGGUCUCUGGG